ACCCAUUUAGGUAGCAUUCUCACUCCUGAUGCAGUGAACUGAUGACCCAGAAUGAGGCUAAGCUAGCAGAAAAUGGAAAAAUGUGUAAUAGACAUACCACAGAGAGCAUCAGAGGAAAUUGCCUCUAUCUUCCCUAGUGGAGAGCAUCCAUGAUGUUCUGCAGUGACUACACUGGGCCAGGAGAAGAAAUGACUGCUGCUCAUAAGUGAACAGAAAAACAGAAGAUUAACUAGGUCUGCAACAGGGAUAACAUCUCACUUUGCUUGCAACAGUAGCUGCAGCAGUACCCUGCAGUAUAGGAGCACAAGCCUACUUCAUUAAAUACUGCAUGAUUAUACGAAGUGUUAAAACACAGAAAUCAGAACCAACUAUACUACCUAUAAUAUGC
rnacentral:lncRNA from 1 species